rnacentral:rRNA from 1 species
GACGAACGCUGGCGGCGUGCCUAAUACAUGCAAGUAGAACGCUGAAGAGAGGAGCUUGCUCUUCUUGGAUGAGUUGCGAACGGGUGAGUAACGCGUAGGUAACCUGCCUUGUAGCGGGGGAUAACUAUUGGAAACGAUAGCUAAUACCGCAUAACAAUGGAUGACACAUGUCAUUUAUUUGAAAGGGGCAAUUGCUCCACUACAAGAUGGACCUGCGUUGUAUUAGCUAGUAGGUGAGGUAACGGCUCACCUAGGCGACGAUACAUAGCCGACCUGAGAGGGUGAUCGGCCACACUGGGACUGAGACACGGCCCAGACUCCUACGGGAGGCAGCAGUAGGGAAUCUUCGGCAAUGGGGGCAACCCUGACCGAGCAACGCCGCGUGAGUGAAGAAGGUUUUCGGAUCGUAAAGCUCUGUUGUAAGUCAAGAACGAGUGUGAGAGUGGAAAGUUCACACUGUGACGGUAGCUUACCAGAAAGGGACGGCUAACUACGUGCCAGCAGCCGCGGUAAUACGUAGGUCCCGAGCGUUGUCCGGAUUUAUUGGGCGUAAAGCGAGCGCAGGCGGUUUGAUAAGUCUGAAGUUAAAGGCUGUGGCUCAACCAUAGUUCGCUUUGGAAACUGUCAAACUUGAGUGCAGAAGGGGAGAGUGGAAUUCCAUGUGUAGCGGUGAAAUGCGUAGAUAUAUGGAGGAACACCGGUGGCGAAAGCGGCUCUCUGGUCUGUAACUGACGCUGAGGCUCGAAAGCGUGGGGAGCGAACAGGAUUAGAUACCCUGGUAGUCCACGCCGUAAACGAUGAGUGCUAGGUGUUGGAUCCUUUCCGGGAUUCAGUGCCGCAGCUAACGCAUUAAGCACUCCGCCUGGGGAGUACGACCGCAAGGUUGAAACUCAAAGGAAUUGACGGGGGCCCGCACAAGCGGUGGAGCAUGUGGUUUAAUUCGAAGCAACGCGAAGAACCUUACCAGGUCUUGACAUCCCGAUGCUAUUUCUAGAGAUAGAAAGUUACUUCGGUACAUCGGUGACAGGUGGUGCAUGGUUGUCGUCAGCUCGUGUCGUGAGAUGUUGGGUUAAGUCCCGCAACGAGCGCAACCCCUAUUGUUAGUUGCCAUCAUUCAGUUGGGCACUCUAGCGAGACUGCUGGUAAUAAACCGGAGGAAGGUGGGGAUGACGUCAAAUCAUCAUGCCCCUUAUGACCUGGGCUACACACGUGCUACAAUGGUUGGUACAACGAGUUGCGAGUCGGUGACGGCAAGCUAAUCUCUUAAAGCCAAUCUCAGUUCGGAUUGUAGGCUGCAACUCGCCUACAUGAAGUCGGAAUCGCUAGUAAUCGCGGAUCAGCACGCCGCGGUGAAUACGUUCCCGGGCCU